UACGGAGGGGGCUAGCGUUGUUCGGAAUUACUGGGCGUAAAGCGCACGUAGGCGGCUUUGUAAGUUAGAGGUGAAAGCCUGGAGCUCAACUCCAGAAUUGCCUUUAAGACUGCAUCGCUUGAAUCGCGGAGAGGUGAGUGGAAUUCCGAGUGUAGAGGUGAAAUUCGUAGAUAUUCGCAAGAACACCAGUGGCGAAGGCGGCUCUCUAGUACGGUACUGACGCUGAGACGCGAAAGCGUGGGGAGCGAACAGG
rnacentral:rRNA from 1 species